rnacentral:tRNA from 1 species
GCCCCCAUAGUAUAGUGGAUAGAAUUCAAGCUUGCGGAGCUUGAGACCGGGGUUCGAAUACUUUCGGGCUUGCUCAAAAGGAAUAAGACGAAGUCGACUUUCCCCGUGGGGGCA